AAGAGCAGCACCUGUUCUGGGCGGCUGUUUCCCUUUUCCUAAUUAGCACAGAGGAAGCACGGGGAAGGCGCUCCUGAAGACGCAGUUGCCUCCUCCCUGGGAACUCAGUGGAGCAGAGCCCAGCUCCCAGGCCCGAUGUUGGUGUUUCCCAGAAGCCCCUUCGCCAGGACAGGAGGAAGCCCAGAGCAACUCAGCUGCUCAGUUCCUUCCAGCCUUGAGCUGUGACCCACCCUGUACCCUCAUCGCAGGGGCUUUAGACCUCAGACAGUCCUGGGGACCAGAAACUGGAGCAAGAAGAAGGUUCAGGACCAGUGUUCGAGUCCCAGGGACUGUUUUCUUUUCACCCUUACAGCAUACAAACCAGACGGCCGCAUCCAGAAAUGAAGCCAAAGCAGGAAGUGGAGGAGGCAGAGACCGAAGGGCCAGUGGGCUUAUGUGGAAGGAGAGCAGUCCGUAGGCCUGGGUCAGCCAGGCCGCUGGAACUGGAGCUCUGGCCACAGCCAGAGGAAGCGUGAACCCCUCCCCCACCGUCAAUUCACUGCCGCCUCUGGCAAGUCACUAAACCUCUCUGAGCCUCAGUUUCCACAUCUUUAAGCAGAACUUUUAAUACCUGCCUCCCUUGCAUGGCUGCUGAGAAUAAACAAGAUAGUGUAAAUAUCUGAUAAAGUGUGUGGUAUCUGACACAUGAGUACCCAAUAAAUAGUAACUUUUGUAACCGUUGAAAGGCUUCAAAAGAAUGAAUGGAGCCAUCUGUAUGUUGUUGCAUAAAGAUUCACAUUCCAUCAUUGUGUCAGCAGCCUUGACCUCAACAUGCGCCCGAGCUUGCUGAGGGUUUGGAAGGCCUCACAGAGAGAUGCAGGCCGUUUCAAAACUUCACAUGAGGGACACCUACAACAACAGAGAAAGAAAUGCGUGUGUUCUAGGCUUUUACGAGUGUGUCACUAGAUGCUCCUAGAGAACUGGACUGCGUCCAACAUUGAAUGGUUCAAGAUCUGUCUCCUAUGUAGGCCCUGUAUGGGGGUAUUUAUGGAGGUGGCUUUCUGCUGGCAAAGGAAAGUUGAUGGCAAGAUUUGAAAAAAGUAAAAUGUAGGGUUUUGUUUUAAAUAACACAUUAAGAAAAUGAGCUAUGUCUGAGAACAUUCAAGUAUGAUCUGGGAUCUAUGAGUUCACCAGCCAGUGAUUCCCUACUCCGGCUGUGCAUCUGAAUCAACUGGAGAACUCUCAAACAAGAGUGAGUUCCUGAACUCAUCCCCAACCAGUUAAAUCCAUUUGGGGCAGGCCCCAGCAUAUGUUUUAAGAGUUGAGAAUCAUUGCUCCAGGAGGGGCAAUGUGUCCUACCUGUUUCCUGACUCCUCCCAUCAGAGUCGGAGCCCCGAAGGCCUGGUUGGUUUAUGUAAAAUGGCCCCUGCCUGAUGCUCCUGGGAAGAAUGAAAAUGCAGAGUUGAAAUCACACAAAUUGGAAUUUAGGUAAAACAUGAAACGAGCCCAAGAGAGAUCAUCACAGGGGAGCUGGGGGCCUAGAAGGACCCAAUGUGGACUCCUGAAUCUAGCACAGCGGUUCUCAGCCCUGGCUGCCCCCUAGCAUCAUGUGUGGAGCAAUAAAAAUCGCAGCUCCUCGGGGCCGGCCCUGUGGCCGAGUGGCUAAGUUCACACGCUCCACUGCGGCGGCCCAGGGUUUCCCCAGUUCAGAUCCUGGGUGUGGACAUGGCACCUCUCGUCAGGCCAAGCUGUGGCGGCGUCCCACAUAGCAGAACUAGAAGGAUCUACAACUAGAGUACACAACUAUGUACUGGGAGGCUUUGGGGAGAAGAAGAAGAAAAAAAGAAGAUUGGCAGCGAUGUUAGCUCAGGUGCCAAUCUUUAAAAAAAAAAAAA
ensembl:lncRNA